rnacentral:rRNA from 1 species
ACAGGGAUUGCCUUAGUAACGGCGAGUGAAGCGGCAACAGCUCAAAUUUGAAAUCUGGCUCUUUCAGAGUCCGAGUUGUAAUUUGCAGAGGGCGCUUUGGCGUUGGCAGCGGUCCAAGUUCCUUGGAACAGGACGUCACAGAGGGUGAGAAUCCCGUACGUGGUCGCUAGCCAUCGCCGUGUAAAGCCCCUUCGACGAGUCGAGUUGUUUGGGAAUGCAGCUCUAAAUGGGAGGUAAAUUUCUUCUAAAGCUAAAUACUGGCCAGAGACCGAUAGCGCACAAGUAGAGUGAUCGAAAGAUGAAAAGCACUUUGGAAAGAGAGUCAAAUAGCACGUGAAAUUGUUGAAAGGGAAGCGCUUGCAGCCAGACUUGCCUGUAGUUGCUCAUCCGGGCUUUUGCCCGGUGCACUCUUCUGCGGGCAGGCCAGCAUCAGUUUGGGCGGUUGGAUAAAGGUCUCUGUCAUGUAGCUCUCUUCGGGGAGAACUUAUAGGGGAGACGACAUACAACCAGCCUGGACUGAGGUCCGCGCAUUUGCUAGGAUGCUGGCGUAAUGGCUGUAAGCGGCCCGUCUUGAAACACGGACCAAGGAGUCUAACAUCUAUGCGAGUGUUUGGGUGUCAAGCCCGAGCGCGUAAUGAAAGUGAACGGAGGUGGGACCCCUUUAGGGUGCACCAUCGACCGAUCCUGAUGUCUUCGGAUGGAUUUGAGUAAGAGCAUGGCUGUUGGGACCCGAAAGAUGGUGAACUAUGCUUGAAUAGGGUGAAGCCAGAGGAAACUCUGGUGGAGGCUCGCAGCGGUUCUGACGUGCAAAUCGAUCGUCAAAUUUGGGCAUAGGGGCGAAAGACUAA